rnacentral:lncRNA from 1 species
UGAUUGUUUUGUCUUUGUUUUGUGUGAACCUAAUGCCAAAAGGAGAAAGGACUUAGAAUUAGGACAUACCCAUGCUUAAAGGAGUUCAAGAGCAACUAGGCCUCAUGCCUUUACAAUGCUAAACUUGUUGAAGAGCAACUAGGCCUCAUGCCUUUAGAAUGCUAAAUUUCAAAGUUGACUUUAAAAGGACUUCUCUUCCAAACCUAUUCUUUGUCCAUUCCCUUUAUUGUAUUGUGAACUUUUUGAUGUUUGCUCUUAUGUGGUAGGGAUUCC